rnacentral:rRNA from 1 species
CCUACGGGAGGCAGCAGUAGGGAAUAUUGCUCAAUGGGGGAAACCCUGAAGCAGCAACGCCUCGUGGAGGAUGAAGGUUUUCGGAUUGUAAACUCCUUUUGUUAGAGAAGAUAAUGACGGUAUCUAACGAAUAAGCACCGGCUAACUCCGUGCCAGCAGCCGCGGGAAUACGGAGGGUGCAAGCGUUACUCGGAAUCACUGGGCGUAAAGAGCGCGUAGGCGGGAUAGCAAGUCAGAUGUGAAAUCCUAUGGCUUAACCAUAGAACUGCAUUUGAAACUGUUAUUCUAGAGUAUGGGAGAGGUAGGUGGAAUUCUUGGUGUAGGGGUAAAAUCCGUAGAGAUCAAGAGGAAUACUCAUUGCGAAGGCGACCUGCUAGAACAUAACUGACGCUGAUGCGCGAAAGCGUGGGGAGCAAACAGGAUUAGAUACCCUAGUAGUC